rnacentral:rRNA from 1 species
UACAGAGACUGCAAGCGUUAUUCGGAUUCACUGGGCGUAAAGGGUGCGCAGGCGGCCGAGUGUGUGAGGCGUGAAAGCCCGGGGCUUAACCCCGGAUUGCACCUCAAACUACACGGCUAGAGCAUUGGAGAGGGUAGCAGAAUUCAUGGUGUAGCAGUGAAAUGCGUAGAUAUCAUGAGGAAUACCAGAGGCGAAGGCGGCUACCUGGACAAUUGCUGACGCUCAGGCACGAAAGCGUGGGGAGCAAAA